AAGUGAAGCAGAUUGAAUAAUAACAGAAGUCCUUCAGAUACACAAGCAAAUCAUUAACAGUUCUCUCAGUACAUACUUCUUUUCUCUUGCUAUAUCAUUACUACCUUCUUUACCUAUUUUCUUAACCAGUUUUAUUUGUUUCCUCUCUCUCUGACUAACCAGCCCUUAUCUCCCUGACUCCUUCUUCUGCCAAACCUCAUGUAGCUGCUGACUCCGCCCCUCCAGUCCUCUCAUAGGCUCGUGCAAACCAACUCAUGAAUAUGAAUGGCAUGAGUGACGUGGCGCGAUCGUCAUAAGGCCCUGGUUAGAACUAGUCUUUGUGGUGUUCAGCUCUGCUCUCACCUGUCUGUCACAGCUGGGCAGGGGAACCUCAGCCAAUGAGAGGACGGAGGGUGGUGCAGAAGUGGGAGGAGCUGAGUUAUAUAAGGUGUGUGUGAGGAGUUUGGAGGGAAGAGAGUUUGAGAGAUGAGUGAUUAAAGAGAUUGAUUGAGAGUGAGAAAGUGCCUGUCGGUGAGGGAAAAGUCUGUGUGAGCUAGUGUCUUAAAGCAGUGAUUGACUAAUUGAUUUUACACCUGUGAUUUACCCUUUUUAUUUCUUGUAAUCAAUAAACCUUUUACAGUAUUUGUUUGAAAGAAACCCUUGUCCUUUUGAUUUAAAGGAUAGGUUGGUGGCAGCAAGUUUUUGGUGAGGGGUAGUGGGCACUCUUAUAGGCCUGGAUGAGUAAGGGCUUGAGAGUGGCCUGCUACAGUCUUAAAUAGAAAUAUCAGGCAAUCAGUGUUUACUCUGUGGAAUCAGAUCAUCCUGCUACAUAAAGAUGCAACUUUGCCAAGGAAAUGCUCAACUUUCUCCACAGACUCUUUCAAGCAUCACAAGAUGAGAGUAACACCUAGCAAUGAUCCAGUUGUCAGCAAUCUGUUACCGCAGACUGUGGCAUCAUAAUAUCUGUUUCCUGGUUGAAGAGAAAACUGAGGUGAGAAGCCUAUGAAUGCGUAAGGAGGCGUCACUUUGUGGGGCUGCGUCUGGAUAACCAGCUUUCAAUUGCACUCAGUGUCCAAAGUGGGCUGAUUUCAAAGCAGGAAGGGCUGGAGAGGAAUUGUUAAAAUAGUG
rnacentral:lncRNA from 1 species